rnacentral:rRNA from 1 species
UACAGAGGGUGCAAGCGUUAAUCGGAUUUACUGGGCGUAAAGCGUGAGUAGGUGGCUCGCUAAGUCGGUUGUGAAAUCCCUGGGCUCAACCCGGGAAUUGCAGUCGAUACUGACGAGCUCGAGUUCGGUAGAGGGUGACGGAAUUCCCGGUGUAGCGGUGAAAUGCGCAGAUAUCAGGAGGAACACCAAUGGCGAAGGCAGCACUCUGGGACGUGACUGACGCUGAGACGCGAAAGCGUGGGGAGCAAACAGG